GGCACAGUAGUGCAGUGGAUAGCACUGCUGCCUCGCAGUUGGAAGUUGCUGGUUUGAGUUCCAGCUGGCCA